rnacentral:rRNA from 1 species
UACAGGGGGGGCAAGCGUUGUUCGGAAUUACUGGGCGUAAAGGGCUCGUAGGCGGCCAACUAAGUCGGACGUGAAAUCCCCAGGCUCAACCUGGGAACUGCGUCCGAUACUGGAUGGCUUGAAUCCGGGAGAGGGAUGCAGAAUUCCAAGUGUAGCGGUGAAAUGCGUAGAUAUCUGGAGGAAUACCGGUGGCGAAGGCGGCAUCCUGGACCGGCAUUGACGCUGAGGAGCGAAAGCCAGGGGAGCAAACGGG